GACGUAGGGCGCGAGCGUUGUCCGGAUUUAUUGGGCGUAAAGAGCUCGUAGGCGGCUUGUCGCGUCGACUGUGAAAACCCGAGGCUCAACUUCGGGCUUGCAGUCGAUACGGGCAGGCUAGAGUUCGGUAGGGGAGACUGGAAUUCCUGGUGUAGCGGUGAAAUGCGCAGAUAUCAGGAGGAACACCAGUGGCGAAGGCGGUGCUCUGGGCCGGAACUGACGCUGAGGAGCGAAAGCGUGGGGAGCAAACAGG
rnacentral:rRNA from 1 species